ensembl:ncRNA lncRNA:CR45632 long non-coding RNA:CR45632
GGCACACACACAGGAGUCCCUCAACCGAAGACGAGGAAAACCCACACGCACUCCUCGAAAAUAAAAAAUAAAAACCGUAGGUGCGUAAUCUUUAAAUCAGUUGGAAGGGGCUGGUGACGGGGGCCAAUACUCAAACAUAAACAUCAUCAAUUACAAAACCUCGAACAGCAACAACAACAACAAUCACCGCCAAACGCCCAACGACAACAACACACAGAUAAGAUGCAAGAGAAACAACAAGCCAAUAAGGGAGCAACAAACACAAAACCAUCAGCCAAAUGAAGAAAGACCUGAUGAAAAUGAACUCAAUAUGGCCAUAUUACUACGGGGGAUAUAGUCGAAAAGGAUAAGCACCAACAACCAUUUCGAGAUGAGCAGCAAAAACAACAAGUGUU